GCAAACAGGAUUAGAUACCCUGGUAGUCCACGCCCUAAACGAUGUCAACUAGUUGUCGGGUCUUAAUUGACUUGGUAACGCAGCUAACGCGUGAAGUUGACCGCCUGGGGAGUACGGUCGCAAGAUUAAAACUCAAAGGAAUUGACGGGGACCCGCACAAGCGGUGGAUGAUGUGGAUUAAUUCGAUGCAACGCGAAAAACCUUACCUACCCUUGACAUGGUCGGAAUCCUGGAGAGAUCUGGGAGUGCUCGAAAGAGAACCGGCGCACAGGUGCUGCAUGGCUGUCGUCAGCUCGUGUCGUGAGAUGUUGGGUUAAGUCCCGCAACGAGCGCAACCCUUGUCAUUAGUUGCUACGAAAGGGCACUCUAAUGAGACUGCCGGUGACAAACCGGAGGAAGGUGGGGAUGACGUCAAGUCCUCAUGGCCCUUAUGGGUAGGGCUUCACACGUCAUACAAUGGUACAUACAGAGGGCCGCCAACCCGCGAGGGGGAGCUAAUCCCAGAAAGUGUAUCGUAGUCCGGAUUGUAGUCUGCAACUCGACUGCAUGAAGUUGGAAUCGCUAGUAAUCGCGGAUCAGCAUGUCGCGGUGAAUACGUUCCCGGGUCUUGUACACACCGCCCGUCACACGGGGAGAGCGGGUUUUACCAGAAGUAGGUAGCCUAACCGCAAGGAGGGCGCUUACCACGGUAGGAUUCG
rnacentral:rRNA from 1 species